rnacentral:misc_RNA from 1 species
UCAUCUGUUACAGUCAUGGAAGCUUGUAGAGGGACAUUUCGAGCCUGUGGCCUGAAACUAAUUAAAUGGGGUCCUUCAUGAACAUUCAGAUAAGACCCAAUUCCAUGGCCAGUACCAUGCCUAUAAUCAAGACCAUCCUUCCAUAAAGGGAUUCGAGCAAGGAUGUCAAGGGCAUGACCAUUAGUCCCAUUAGGAAACCGGGCAUUACCGAGGGCAAUGUGACCCUUGAGAACCGCAGUAUAGCAUGCUUUCUCGUGUGCUGAUGGCUUUCCAAAAUGGACUGUGCGAGUUAUGUCAGUUGUUCCAUCCAGAUACUGAGCUCCUGAAUCAAAAAGAUAGAUGCUAUUUGGAUCAAGCUCAGCACACGUUUCAGCCUUUGGAGAAUAGUGGAUGAUAGCACCAUUUGGACCCACUGAUGAAAUUGUAGNNNNNNNNNNNGCCCUCUAAAAUGCUCUUUUGAUGCCCGAAAACCUUCCAGCUUAUCACUUACAGUCACCUCUGUCAGCUUUUUAGUUUUCGAGUCCUUUUUCUUGUUUGCACUCUCCAACUCCAAGAAGUAACCAGAAGCCCCAUGAAUCUCCUGCAUCUGCUUAUCCAACCAGACAAGAUA